rnacentral:rRNA from 1 species
GAUGAACGCUGUCUACAGGCUUAACACAUGCAAGUCGAGGGGAAACGCCGGGGAAGCUUGCUUCCCCGGGCGUCGACCGGCGCACGGGUGAGUAACGCGUAUCCAACCUGCCUCUGACUGAGGGAUAACCCGUCGAAAGUCGGCCUAAUACCUCAUGGCAUCGUCUGCGGGCAUCCAACGACGAUUAAAGAUUUCAUCGGUCAGGGAUGGGGAUGCGUCUGAUUAGCUUGUUGGCGGGGUAACGGCCCACCAAGGCUACGAUCAGUAGGGGUUCUGAGAGGAAGGUCCCCCACAUUGGAACUGAGACACGGUCCAAACUCCUACGGGAGGCAGCAGUGAGGAAUAUUGGUCAAUGGGCGGGAGCCUGAACCAGCCAAGUAGCGUGCAGGAUGACGGCCCUAUGGGUUGUAAACUGCUUUUAUGCGGGGAUAAAGUGAGGGACGUGUCCUUCAUUGCAGGUACCGAAUGAAUAAGGACCGGCUAAUUCCGUG